rnacentral:rRNA from 1 species
AGUGAACGCUGGCGGUAGGCCUAACACAUGCCAGUCGAACGGCAGCACAGUAAGAGCUUGCUCUUACGGGUGGCGAGUGGCGGACGGGUGAGGAAUACAUCGGAAUCUACUUUUUCGUGGGGGAUAACGUAGGGAAACUUACGCUAAUACCGCAUACGACCUACGGGUGAAAGCAGGGGAUCUUCGGACCUUGCGCGAUUGAAUGAGCCGAUGUCGGAUUAGCUAGUUGGCGGGGUAAAGGCCCACCAAGGCGACGAUCCGUAGCUGGUCUGAGAGGAUGAUCAGGCACACGGGAACUGAGACACGGUCCAGACUCCUACGGGAGGCAGCAGUGGGGAAUAGUGGACAAUGGGCGCAAGCCUGAUCCAGCCAUACCGCGUGGGUGAAGAAGGCCUUCGGGUUGUAAAGCCCUUUUGUUGGGAAAGAAAAGCAGCAGGUUAAUACCCCGCUGUUCUGACGGUACCCAAAGAAUAAGCACCGGCUAACUUCGUG